rnacentral:lncRNA from 1 species
UAAAUGCAGUGUAUAAACCAUUCAUACAUUUUGUAGGAAGUAUAAAAACUAUCAAAAAUUAAUAACUUCACAAGUUUUUAAGAUAUAUAAAAGAUAUAUAAAUAAUAUAAAAAUACAAUAUAAAAAGAUAUAAGUAGAAACAACAAAAAAGUCACAAAGCAGGGGUAAUGGAGUAGAAAUCUAGUGUUUUUUGCCAGGCGUGGUGGCUCACGCCUGUAAUCCCAGCAUUUUGGGAGGCCAAGACGGGUGGAUCACCUGAGAUCAGGAGUUUGCUACCAGUCUGACCAACGUGGAGAAACCCCGUCUGUACUAAAAAUACAAAAUUAGCCAGCGUGGUGGCGCAUGCUUGUAAUCCCAGCUACUCGGGAGGCUGAGGCAGGAGAAUUGCUUGAACCUGGGAGGUGGAGGCUUCAGUGAGCCAAGAGCACACCAUUGCACUCCAGCCUGGGCAACAAGAGAAAAACUCUGUCUUAAAAAAAAAAAAAAAAAAAAAAAAAAAAAAGAAGAAGAAGAAAGAAAGGAAAAAAAGAAAUUCAGUGGUUUUUUUUCUACCUUUCUCAUUGCUUCUUUGUAUUUUCUUUGUAAUCAGAGUGGAGCUGUCAUUAGUUUAAAAUAAUUGGUUAUAAGAUGUUAUUUGCCAGCCUCAUGGUGACCACAAAACAAAAACCUAUAAUACAUACGCAAAAAUAAAAAGUUAGAAAUUAAACCAUGCUCCCAGAGAAAAUCACCUUUAAACAAAGAAAGACAAGCAGAGAAAGAGAGGAGGAGAGGAACAACAAAACAAUGAGAAAACAAAUAACAAAAUGGCAAUAGUAAGUCUUUAUCAAUAAUAGCACUAAAUACAAAUGGACUAAAUUAUUCAAUCAAAACAGUGGUGAAUACAUAAAAAAGACCUAAUGAUGUAGUGCCUACAAGAAACUCACUUUUUCUAUAAAGACAUACAUAGACUGAAAAUAAGGAGGUGGAAAAGAUAUUCCAUGCAAAUGAAAGAUAAAGAGCAAAAGUGACUAUAUUAUAUUAGACAAAAUAGAUUUCAAUUUUUAAAAAAUUGAAAUCAAGUAUCUUUUCUGACCACAAUUAAAUAAAACUAGAAAUCAAUAACAAGAGGAACUGUGGAAACUAUACAAACACACGGGAAAUAAACAAUAUGCUCCUGAAUAACCACUUUAUCAAUGAAAAAAUUAAAAAGGAAAUGUAUUAUUUUUGGAAACAAAUGAAAAUAGAAACACAACAUACCAAAACUUACGGGAUACAACAAAAGCAGGGAAGCUUAUAGCAGUAAAUGCAUACAUAAAAAAGUAGAAAAACUUUAAAUAGACAACGAAACAAUGUGUCAUAAAGAGCUAUAAAAGCAAGAGCAAACCAAACUCAAAAUUAGUAGAAGAAGAGAAAUAAUAAAGAUCAGAGCAUAAAUAAAUAAAAUUUAAAAAAGUGUGAAAGGGCAAAAAAAUGAAAAGUUGGUUUUUUGAAAUGGUAAACAAAAUCAACAAACCUAUAGCCAGAGUAAGAAAAAAAAGUAAAGAACCAAAUAAAUAAAGUCAUAGAUGAAAAAGGAGACAACUAAUAACACAGAAAUUCAAAGGAUUAUUAGAGACUAUUAUGAGUCAACACAUAAAUAAAUAAAUGCAAAUACAUUGGAAAACCUAGAAGAAAUUAAUAAAUUCCUAGACACAUACAACCUACCAAGUUUGAAUAAUGAAAAAAUCCAAAACUUGAACAGACCAAUAACAAGUAACAAGAUUGAAUCAGUAGUAGAAAGUUUUCCAUCAAAGAAAAGCCCGGGACCUGAUAGCUCCAGUGCAGAAUUCUACCAACCAUUUAAUGAAGAAUUAUUACCAAUUCUACUCAAACUAUUCUAAAAAAUGAAGGAGGAGGAGAUACUUCUAAAUCCAUCCUAUGAAGCCAGGAUUGCCUCAAUACGAAAACCAGACAAAGACAUGACAAACAAAAGAAAACUAUCAAUACCCCUGAUGAACAUACAUACAAAAAUCUUCAAGAAAAUAUUAGCAAACCACAUUCAACAACACAUUAAAGAUAUCAUUCAUCAUGACCAAGUGGGAUUCAUCCCACAGUGAUUAGUAUAUGCAAAUACAUCAGUGUGAUACUUUAUAUCAAUGGAAUGAAGGAUAAAAAACAUGAUCCAAAAUUCAACAUCCUUUCAUGGUAAAACCUCUCAAAAAAAAUAGCGAAUAGAGAGAACACUAUAAAAGCCAUAUACAAUACAACCCCAGCUAGUAUCAUACUGAAUGAGGAAAAACUUAAAGGCCUUUCUUUAAAGUCUGAAACAAGAAGGCUAUCCACUUUCACCACUUUUAUUCAACAUAGUACUUGAAGUCCUAGUCAGAGCAAUUAGACAAGAAAAAGAAAUAUAGGACACUCAAAUUGAAAAGAACUGUUAAAAAUGUUAAAUGUUACAAUGCUUAUACUACCCAAAGCAAUCUAUAGAUUCAAGGCAAUCCCUAUCAAACUACCAAUGAGAUUUCUCAAAUAAAUUUUUUAAAAUCCUAAAAUUUAUAUGGAACCACAAAAGACCCAAAAUAUUCAAAGCUAUCCUGAGCAAAAAGAACUAAGUUGGAGGAAUUACAUUACCUGACUUCAAAUUAUGCUAUGGAGCUAUAGUAAUCCAAACAGCAGGGUACUGGCAUAAAAACAGACACAUAGGCCAAUAGGACAGAAUAUAAAAUACAGAAAUAAAUGCAUGCAUUUACAUUUAAUUCAUUUUCAACAAAGAUGGUAAGAACAUACACUGGGGAAAGGGCAGUCUCUUCAGUAAAUUGGCUGGGAAAACUUAUCCAUAUCUAGAAGAGUGAAACUACGCCCCUAUCUUUCACUGCAUACAAAAAUCAAAUCAAAGUGGAUUAAUGACGUAAAUCUAAGACCUGAAACUUUAAAACUACCAGAAGAAAACUUUAGUGAG